rnacentral:lncRNA from 1 species
GGAGCGUCGAGGAGCCCCGGGAAGAUGACGGGGCCGCUGAUCUCCAGCACAGAGAUACUGUAGGGGAACUGCUUGACAGACCUGGUGUAGUGGGAGUCCAGCUUAGACCCCGGCGAGGUGGACCCGAUGCCCACCUUGCCCCCGGCGAGAUCAGUAAUGUUGAUGAACCCCAGGUUGCCCGGGGCGGCGCCCGUGGUCUGAAGCAGCGUCGUCGUCAGAACCGAACCCUCCGAGAGGUCGUGGAGCUUUUUGGCGUCGUAGUAGUCGAGGACGGUGAGCAGGCGGAGGGCGGCCUUG